GUCUCCGAGAAGCUUGGGAAAGGAGGAUGCCUGGUGACCCCCGUAGGAGUUCUCGUCCGUUACGGCUGCACUGCCUCUGACGAACUUCCAGGAUCCUCCGUAGGUAAUCCUUUCACUUGGGCCCACGUGUCCAAAUGGAGCCGCGUUUCCAGUCCCUGUGCUUUCCCGCCAGGCUUUGCCUGUAGGGACGACCUCCAUUCUGGGUGGAUCGUUGCCGCGCCCCUUUCUCCCCGCCCCUUUCUCCCUGGGCGACUCAGGAUCUCAGAGCCUGGGAAUUGCGACCACGGAAGUGCGGAAUCCUUUCAGUUUUAAAUUCUCAUCAGCAGGGACUGCACCUCAAUCAGGGACAGGACUUGUUUAAAUAUUAGCAUGUCAGUGCUGGGAAUCAUCCUCAGGAAUCAGUAAGGGGGAAAUAAGUCUUAAGGCAAUUACAGCAGAAAGAAAAUGGCUGUGUGUCUUACCAAGCAUUUCGGUGACUUUGACUGUUCCUGGUACCUCAGCAGGCUCCCCGGGUCCACCGGCAUUACACGCUAGGACACGGAAUCUGUACUCAGCGCCCUGAGUGCUUCAACAACGUAGUGUACAAUUCUGCUUCCACCAUCGUGUUCUGGCUUCAGCCAGGCCAGGGAAACACUGUCUUUGGAUACAUUUGUUACUCCAAGUUUUUCAGGAACAUCCCAGGAUAACACGGCAGACUCUUUGGUGACAUCAUGCACAGAAAUAUUGGCUGGAGGGCCAGGAGAAUCUAAAACUUUGACAACUAAGAUGAUAGCCGAUGACUUUGCUACCUCCAUCACUGACUGGCUCGUUCCAGUGCACUUCCAUGCUGUCCUUGGAGGACAGCGUCACAAAUGGUGUGCCAGGAGGACCGGGAACUUUGAAUGGAUACUGGGCUAUAAUAGGCUCUGAAUUGAGGUUCAGACUGCACUGGUUCUCCUUUGCCAUACUGGUUUACAGCAGAGACCCGGAAGAGGUACUCGUUUCCUUGGAUAAGUUUGGUUGCCACGUGCCUGCAAGACUGAAUAUCUUCAGCCACCACUGUCCACAAGAGUCGGCUGGUUUCCCUCUUUUCAAGAACAUAGGACUUAAUUGGAUAUAAUUGGUGAUUUCCGAACCUCCAUCGUCCUUUGGAGGACCCCACUUUAAGGUAAUGGCUUCUGCUGUGACUUCAUCAAAUUUGAUUGGUCCAGUGGGGAUACCAGGCUUGCCAACAACUUU